rnacentral:rRNA from 1 species
CCUACGGGUGGCAGCAGUGGGGGAUAUUGCACAAUGGGGGAAACCCUGAUGCAGCGACGCCGCGUGGGCGAAGGAGUAUUUCGGUAGGUAAAGCCCUAUCAGCAGGGAGGAAGAAAUGACGGUACCUGAGUAAGAAGCACCGGCUAAAUACGUGCCAGCAGCCGCGGUAAUACGUAUGGUGCAAGCGUUAUCCGGAUUUACUGGUUGUAAGGGGAGCGCAGGCGGCACGGCAAGCCGGAUGUGAAAGCCCGCGGCCCACCCGCGGGACUGCAUUGGGAACUACCGGGCUGGAGUGCCGGGGACGUAGGAGGAAUGUCGAGUGUAGCGGUGAAAUGCGUAGAUAUUAGGCGGAACACCAGUGGCGAAGGCGGCCUACUGGACGGUGAUUGACGCUGAGGCUCGAAAGCGUGGGGAGCAAACAGGAUUAGAUACCCCAGUAGUC